rnacentral:rRNA from 1 species
GCAGCCCAGAGUCUGAAUCAGCUUGUGUGUUAGUGGAACGGUCUGGAAAGUCCGACGGUACAGGGUGAUAGUCCCGUACACCAAAAUGCACAGGUUGUGGACUCGAAGAGUAGGGCGGGACACGUGGUAUCCUGUCUGAAUAUGGGGGGACCAUCCUCCAAGGCUAAAUACUCCUGACUGACCGAUAGUGAACAAGUACCGUGAGGGAAAGGCGAAAAGAACCCCGGCGAGGGGAGUGAAAAAGAACCUGAGACCGUGUACGUACAAGCAGUGGGAGCACCUUCGGGUGUGACUGCGUACCUUUUGUAUAAUGGGUCAGCGACUUAUAUUCUGUAGCAAGGUUAACCGUAUAGGGGAGCCGCAGGGAAACCGAGUCUUAACUGGGCGUUAAGUUGCAGGGUAUAGACCCGAAACCCGGUGAUCUAGCCCAUGGGCAGGUUGAAGGUUGGGUAACACUAACUGGAGGACCGAACCGACUAAUGUUGAAAAAUUAGCGGAUGACUUGUGGCUGGGGGUGAAAGGCCAAACAAACCGGGAGAUAGCUGGUUCUCCCCGAAAGCUAUUUAGGUAGCGCCUCGUGAAUUCAUCUUCGGGGGGAGAGCACUGUUUCGGCUAGGGGGUCAUCCCGACUUACCAACCCGAUGCAAACUACGAAUACCGAAGAAUGUUGUCACGGGAGACACACGGCGGGUGCUAACGUCCGUCGUGAAGAGGGAAACAACCCAGACCGCCAGCUAAGGUCCCAAAGUCAUGGUUAAGUGGGAAACGA